ACUCCUACGGGAGGCAGCAGUGGGGAAUUUUGGACAAUGGGGGAAACCCUGAUCCAGCCAUGCCGCGUGAGUGAAGAAGGCCUUCGGGUUGUAAAGCUCUUUCAGCCGGAACGAAACGGUCACGGCUAAUACCUGUGACUAAUGACGGUACCGGAAGAAGAAGCACCGGCUAACUACGUGCCAGCAGCCGCGGUAAU
rnacentral:rRNA from 1 species